GCCGGGUGCAGUGGCGCGCGCCUGUAAUCCAAGCUGCUGGGAGGCUGAGGCUGGCGGAUCGCUUGAGUUCAGGGGUUCUGGGCUGCAGUGGACUAUGUCGAUCGGGUGUCCGUGCUAAGUUCGGUAUCGAUAUGGUGCUCCUGGGGGGAGCUCGGGACCACCAGGUCGUCUAAGGAGGGGUGAACCGGCCCAGGUCGGAGACGGAGCAGGUCAAACGCCCCCGUGCCGAUCAGUAGUGGGGGUCGCACCUGUGAAUAGACACUGCAGUGCAGCCUGAGCGAUACAGCGAGACUCAGUACUUUU
rnacentral:SRP_RNA from 1 species